GUUGUUGUGGUGUAGUGGUUUCUCACGUCAGCCUAACACACUGAAGGUUUUUAGUUCGAUCCUGGGCAACAACA
rnacentral:tRNA from 1 species